rnacentral:rRNA from 1 species
GUGUUCGUUAUUAAGGGCGCAUGGUGGAUGCCUUGGCAUGCUGAGCCGAUGAAGGACGUGAAAGGCUGCGUUAAGCCUCGGGGAGUUGUCAAUUAAGCGUUGAUCCGAGGAUGUCCGAAUGGGGAAACCUGGCCCUGGUUAUGUG